UAGGGAAUCUUCCACAAUGGACGAAAGUCUGAUGAAGCAACGCCGCGUGAGUGAAGAAGGGUUUCGGCUCGUAAAACUCUGUUGUUAAAGAAGAACAUAUCUGAGAGUAACUGUUCAGGUAUUGACGGUAUUUAACCAGAAAGCCACGGCUAACUACGUGCCAGCAG
rnacentral:rRNA from 1 species